AGGGCGAAGCCCAGUUGAUAUCCAAGAGAAGACCUGAUCAAUUCUCAUUUAAAGCUAGAUAAUCCUUGCUAAAAAUCAUUUUCAUAAAAGGAGUACUACGCUUUCACCCAAAGAAAACAAGAAAAGGGUUCCUGCAAGGAAGCAGCAUUCAUUACCUCUCAUCAGGGAACAGCCUGCACUUCUGGUCUGGUGCACCACACGGGGAACAGCCCACCUCAGCAAAAACCGGACACUGGGUUUUAAGCAGCAACGCCGUCUGAAACACAAAACCAUCAUUAUGUCUUCCAGGGCUACUGUCAGUUAUCUGAAUGGUAUGACAGCCAAACUUAGAGGUCUCUCUUAAAUCAUCUUUUUACAAUCCUAGUCUGCUCUCCUUCAUUAAGAAAUGCUGUGCUACUUAGACCACUUAACAUUAUUUUACUUAAUGCUGUAAUGGAAUGCAUCAUUUAUAUUAGCUACUAUUAGCUGGCAAGGACUCAGGAGACAAACUAUAAUGGUAGGUUUUUGGUAGCAUUGUAUAUUAGCAUUUUUAUAGCUGAUCAGCCAUGAACACUUGCUAAAAGGUUGCAGUUAGUAAUUUAGUCAAACAAAUAAAAUGUUUUCCCUUAUUAUUUAUUUUUAUGACAUGAUAUUUUUCUUCAUUCCAUCAUUAUUUCCCUUGGUUUCUGAAAGGCAGGAUUAUGUUUAUUCUGUCUUCAGUGAAAGCAAACAGCCAUCCUGUGAAGCAGGUUGGCCAAAAAGCAGUUCACUU
ensembl:lncRNA novel transcript